rnacentral:rRNA from 1 species
UGGCGGAUGGGUGAGUAACGCGUAGGAACCUGUCGCACAGUGGGGGAUAACGCUGGGAAACCGGCGCUAAUACCGCAUGUGGUGAGCGAUCAAGAAAGCGAGUAAUCGCGCUGUGUGAGGGGCCUGCGUCCGAUUAGCUAGUUGGUGGGGUAAAGGCCUACCAAGGCGACGAUCGGUAGCCGGCCUGAGAGGGUGAUCGGCCACACUGGAACUGAGACACGGCCCAG